AUUGAACGCUGGCGGCAUGCCUUACACAUGCAAGUCGAACGGUAACGGGCCUUCGGGUGCCGACGAGUGGCGAACGGGUGAGUAAUACAUCGGAACGUGCCCGAUCGUGGGGGAUAACGAGGCGAAAGCUUUGCUAAUACCGCAUACGAUCUACUGAUGAAAGCAGGGGACCGCAAGGCCUUGCGCGGACGGAGCGGCCGAUGGCAGAUUAGGUAGUUGGUGGGAUAAAAGCUUACCAAGCCGACGAUCUGUAGCUGGUCUGAGAGGAUGAUCAGCCACACUGGGACUGAGACACGGCCCAGACUCCUACGGGAGGCAGCAGUGGGGAAUUUUGGACAAUGGGCGCAAGCCUGAUCCAGCCAUGCCGCGUGCAGGAUGAAGGCCUUCGGGUUGUAAACUGCUUUUGUACGGAACGAAAAGCCUUCUUUUAAUACAGGAGGGUCAUGACGGUACCGUAAGAAUAAGCACCGGCUAACUACGUG
rnacentral:rRNA from 1 species